rfam:Paenibacillus sp. Soil750 contig_5, whole genome shotgun sequence.
CUCUGUUUCAGCAAAUGAUUCAGGGCGGAAAGAG